CUCCCUAGAUCUUCCAUCCAGGAUAGCCUGGGAAUUGAUCUUGAUCCUAUCUGUUCCUCAUUAAAGCAGACCUGCUCAACUUCAGCAGGCAGGAGGAUUGUCUUUCACCAGCUGCAGGAGCCUGUUCCCACUACAAGCCUGGUGGAGUCUUCAGAGCAGAUCUGGUUCUCCUACUUGUAUAGACAAAAGAAACUGAGGCUCAGAAGAGACACGUGGCUGAGUUUAACAGGACUGCAACAAGAAUUUUGCCUUUCUACUUUCUGAUCCUUCGCAAGGAAUUUUCCUGAACAUCACCACUGAGGCUCCUUCCAGUAAUGACUCUGAUCCAUCAUUGGGAUCGCUGAGCAGUUGUUUCAUAACACGAGCAAGGUUGCUUUGACCGUGUUUCUUGACCUGGCCAUUUGGAUCCCAAGGAUGUUUUGGUCCAAGAAUAAAUCCCAGAGCUUAGGUCACCAAAGAAGAGAGGAAAACUUGUCAGAUGGGGAAGGACUUGUCAAGAGCAUGCACACAGAUUUACUCUUCAGCCAGAAGCUCCAAUUCCUAGAUGAUCCGAAUCCAACUCAGAGUGCCUGCACC